AGAUGACCAGGGCCUGUUCUCCGCCAUGAUGAACGAUACUUUCAGUCAUAGCAGUGGAGAGCUGCACACUUUUCAAUCCAUGUGUGAAUGUGGUUUUGCUCCAGGGCGCACCUGGGG